GGUAAGUGCAGUCUGACAGUGGGAUUAUUACAGGCAGGUGGGAGCAGAGGUGGAGCAGACACAGCCCCUCCUAACAGUCCUCAUCAAGGAUUCUUGCUGCAGGCUGCUGCUGGAAGCCACUAUCUGACCCAGCCUGGGGAACCUACCUAGUGCGGAGAGGACAGAGUUUCUCUGUGUAAUAGACCUGGCUGUCCUGGAACUCGAUCUGCAGACCAGGCUAGCUUCGAACUCACAGAGAUCUUCUGCCUGCCUCUGUCUCCAGAGUGCUGGGAUUAAAGGUGUGUGCUGCCACCACCCAUCAAAAAUAACUUUUGAAGAAUAAACAUGCAGGGCCAGUGAGUUGGCUCAGUGGGUAAAGACACGUGCCACACAAGCCCCUGAGUUUGAGUCCACCGUGCCAUGUAGAAAUGAGAGGCUAGAACUGACUCCACAAAGUCCUCUGACCUUCACACAUGUGCCAUGGCACGUGUACCUAUCAUACACACACACAGUUGUAAUAAUAAUAACCAGAUAUGCACAGAAGAAGGCCACUCAUGCUGUCCAUGAUCCUCUUCAUCUUCACAAACUCAAACUCCUGUGCAGAGCAUCACUCCUACCAAAAAGAAGCAUGCAGCCUGUGAAAGACAUAUUUACCUAAGCCUAAACCAAAGGCCCUAACACCUCCCUUCUCGCCAUCCAACCAACAGCUUCUCCCUGCUGCUUUCCACAGCUGCUGUGAUGAGAAGCCCGACAGACCCAAUUUAAAGAAGAACUCCAUUUGGACUCACUGUUUUAGAGGGUUCAGUCCACACCUGCUCAGCUCGAGAGCCUGGGCCAAAAUAUCAUAGUUGUGAGAACAUGUGGCUGAGGACCUUGUGGAAGACAGGAAGCAUAGAGCGCAUAGGCAGGUAUUGGGGGCUCAGGUAUAUGUUGCCGGGAACCUAUUUCCUCCAGGUCAGCCCCGCCUACCAAAGUUCCAAAAUGGCGCUGCCAUCUGGGAACUGAGUAUUGAAAACGUGAACUCACGAAAGGUAUUUCAUAUUCAAAGCCACGGCAGCGCCUCUGGGGUGGACGACUCCAAGAAGCACUCUUACCCACCUUACCCUCCUGACAGCUCUGCCUCGCCAACUGACUAAGAGACAGGCUUAUGAAAAAUUCCUGUCUUCUUGAAAGAUGAGUCAACAAAACUUUUUCUUGGCUGGGUGUGAUAACUCAGGCUUGUAAGUCGUUGGGAGGAUAAAGGGAGGGGGAGUGUUUACUCAGGUAGUCUUGUGGGUGAGAUUCGCUUUGUUUGGGACACGUUUGUUACCUUUGAGAGAACACUUGACACCAAGCAAGAGCUCCCCCAUACUUUACCCUUUCAACUGCUCAUGCUCCAAACUUUGAUACCAUCUCCAACUUCUUUCUCUCACUUCCCACAUCCAACCUGUCGUGGGGUCUUGUAGCUUUUGCCUUUAAAAUACAUACAGAAUCCAACCACUCUACCCCAGUCUCAUUGCUUGGCAGGCUGGUCCAGGCCCCCAUCAUCUCUCAUUGGGUUGGUGCAGGUGCUUCCCGCUGGCUGUCCUGUACAUUCCCAGCCUGCCAUCAUCUCAAAAUUGUCCUUCCCCUGAUUACUUUAUUUCCAUAGCCUGUAGUCCCUCUCCCUGCACUAGAAUUCAAGACAAGGCUUGAUGUCCAGCUCUCAGCUUCUAGAAUUGCAGACAGUACUGAAUGGAUGAAUGAGUACUUUGGAGAGCCAGGCAGUGGCGUCAGUAUUUUAUUUAUACUCACUGAACACCCGUGUCCCUAUGUUGCUGAGAAAACUGACCUAAAGAUUCAGUUAUUUGCUCAGUUUUACAGUUAACAAGUCAUCAAUGUGGAAUUUGCCUGUAGGUCUCUGUGACUCCAGAACGUCAAAUAUCAAGCGUGAUUUCUGAACGAAAGAGUCAUCCUCAGAUAUUGCACAGAUGUUAGUGAGGAGACGCUGCCUCCUGCCUACAACACUGCCCAGGUUUGUAAUGAAACUGAUCAGGUGGGUCUAAAGAGGCCAGGUAUGGGCAGCAGCCACAGCCCUCUGUUCCUUCACCAGGGAUCAGUGUUAGCCCAGGGUCCAGGAGUGGAUCAACCCAUUUGCUUCACCUUCAUCAAAAGCUUGAAGACACUCAACUAAGCCUCACCGUCACAGCAGGAGAUGGCGGGGAGAGUGUUUGAAUGCCAGGUCUCCAGCUGUUUCAGUCUUAACCUCCUCCCUAGUAUAAGGAAAGGAAUUGAAUAAAAUGUAUUCAAGAAAGCCAUCUCGGCUUCUGAAAGAAACCGUGGUGCUUCCUAAAACAUCCAACUACUCUUCCCCAAGUCUUGCACAACCUCAUUUAUAGCACUGACCUUCACAAGGAACUCUUAUAGUCACCAUGAACACAAGAACUGAAAAGAUUCAAGCUGACAUGGAGGAGCAGGCCUGCGAUCCCAGCUACCAGGGAGGCUGAGACAGGAGGAUUAUAAACUCAAGACUGUCUGGAAUAAAGAGUGAGUACCAGGCCAGCUUGGACAACUUA